GAAAGUGCCAAAUACAAUCCGAACGCUAAUCCAUUAGCCACUCCAUACCGGAUCGCGGUUCCAUCUGGAGAAAUUAUGGCUUAGACCACAGCCAGAUAGACCAUCGAAAAUCUCAAAGCACGUGCACGGUGGAUAAGAUGCAAUUGGGAAUUCGUGAAAUACAAAGGUUAAUGUGGCGUGUUAUCCACCGUGGGAUUUGGAU
rnacentral:lncRNA from 1 species